rnacentral:rRNA from 1 species
GACGAACGCUGGCGGCGUGCUUAACACAUGCAAGUCGAACGGAAAGGCUCCAGCUUGCUGGAGUACUCGAGUGGCGAACGGGUGAGUAACACGUGGGUAAUCUGCCCUGCACUCUGGGAUAAGCCUGGGAAACUGGGUCUAAUACCGGAUAUGACCUUUCUCCUUAUGGGGUUUGGUGGAAAGUUUUUCGGUGUAGGAUGAGCCCGCGGCCUAUCAGCUUGUUGGUGGGGUGAUGGCCUACCAAGGCGACGACGGGUAGCCGGCCUGAGAGGGUGAUCGGCCACAUGGGGACUGAGAUACGGCCAAGACUCCUACGGGAGGCAGCAGUGGGGAAUAUUGCACAAUGGGCGGAAGCCUGAUGCAGCGACGCCGCGUGAGGGAUGACGGCCUUCGGGUUGUAAACCUCUUUCAGCAGGGACGAAGCGUAAGUGACGGUACCUGCAGAAGAAGCACCGGCUAACUAUGUG